AUUGAACGCUGGCGGCAGGCCUAACACAUGCAAGUCGAAUGGUAACAGGAAACAGCUUGCUGUUUCGCUGACGAGUGGCGGACGGGUGAGUAAUGUCUGGGAAACUGCCUGAUGGAGGGGGAUAACUACUGGAAACGGUAGCUAAUACCGCAUAACGUCGCAAGACCAAAGAGGGGGACCUUCGGGCCUCUUGCCAUCAGAUGUGCCCAGAUGGGAUUAGCUAGUAGGUGGGGUAACGGCUCACCUAGGCGACGAUCCCUAGCUGGUCUGAGAGGAUGACCAGCCACACUGGAACUGAUACACGGUCCAGACUCCUACGGGAGGCAGCAGUGGGGAAUAUUGCACAAAGGGCGCAAGCCUGAUGCAGCCAUGCCGCGUGUAUGAAGAAGGCCUUCGGGUUGUAAAGUACUUUCAGCGGGGAGGAAGGGAGUAAAGUUAAUACCUUUGCUCAUUGACGUUACCCGCAGAAGAAGCACCGGCUAACUCCGUG
rnacentral:rRNA from 1 species